rnacentral:rRNA from 1 species
UACAGAGGGUGCGAGCGUUAAUCGGAAUUACUGGGCGUAAAGCGCGCGUAGGCGGCUUUGCAAGUCGGGUGUGAAAUCCCCAGGCUUAACCUGGGAACUGCAUUCGAGACUGCAUUGCUAGAGUAUGGGAGAGGGAAGUGGAAUUUCCGGUGUAGCGGUGAAAUGCGUAGAUAUCGGAAGGAACAUCAGUGGCGAAAGCGGCUCACUGGAUCUCUUCUGACGCUGAGGCACGAAAGCUAGGGUAGCGAACGGG